rnacentral:rRNA from 1 species
AAAUUGAAGAGUUUGAUCAUGGCUCAGAUUGAACGCUGGCGGCAGGCCUAACACAUGCAAGUCGAACGGUAACAGGAAGAAGCUUGCUUCUUUGCUGACGAGUGGCGGACGGGUGAGUAAUGUCUGGGAAACUGCCCGAUGGAGGGGGAUAACUACUGGAAACGGUAGCUAAUACCGCAUAACGUCGCAAGACCAAAGAGGGGGACCUUCGGGCCUCUUGCCAUCGGAUGUGCCCAGAUGGGAUUAGCUAGUUGGUGAGGUAACGGCUCACCAAGGCGACGAUCCCUAGCUGGUCUGAGAGGAUGACCAGCCACACUGGAACUGAGACACGGUCCAGACUCCUACGGGAGGCAGCAGUGGGGAAUAUUGCACAAUGGGCGCAAGCCUGAUGCAGCCAUGCCGCGUGUAUGAAGAAGGCCUUCGGGUUGUAAAGUACUUUCAGCGGGGAGGAAGGGAGUAAAGUUAAUACCUUUGCUCAUUGACGUUACCCGCAGAAGAAGCACCGGCUAACUCCGUGCCAGCAGCCGCGGUAAUACGGAGGGUGCAAGCGUUAAUCGGAAUUACUGGGCGUAAAGCGCACGCAGGCGGUUUGUUAAGUCAGAUGUGAAAUCCCCGGGCUCAACCUGGGAACUGCAUCUGAUACUGGCAAGCUUGAGUCUCGUAGAGGGGGGUAGAAUUCCAGGUGUAGCGGUGAAAUGCGUAGAGAUCUGGAGGAAUACCGGUGGCGAAGGCGGCCCCCUGGACGAAGACUGACGCUCAGGUGCGAAAGCGUGGGGAGCAAACAGGAUUAGAUACCCUGGUAGUCCACGCCGUAAACGAUGUCGACUUGGAGGUUGUGCCCUUGAGGCGUGGCUUCCGGAGCUAACGCGUUAAGUCGACCGCCUGGGGAGUACGGCCGCAAGGUUAAAACUCAAAUGAAUUGACGGGGGCCCGCACAAGCGGUGGAGCAUGUGGUUUAAUUCGAUGCAACGCGAAGAACCUUACCUGGUCUUGACAUCCACGGAAGUUUUCAGAGAUGAGAAUGUGCCUUCGGGAACCGUGAGACAGGUGCUGCAUGGCUGUCGUCAGCUCGUGUUGUGAAAUGUUGGGUUAAGUCCCGCAACGAGCGCAACCCUUAUCCUUUGUUGCCAGCGGUUAGGCCGGGAACUCAAAGGAGACUGCCAGUGAUAAACUGGAGGAAGGUGGGGAUGACGUCAAGUCAUCAUGGCCCUUACGACCAGGGCUACACACGUGCUACAAUGGCGCAUACAAAGAGAAGCGACCUCGCGAGAGCAAGCGGACCUCAUAAAGUGCGUCGUAGUCCGGAUUGGAGUCUGCAACUCGACUCCAUGAAGUCGGAAUCGCUAGUAAUCGUGGAUCAGAAUGCCACGGUGAAUACGUUCCCGGGCCUUGUACACACCGCCCGUCACACCAUGGGAGUGGGUUGCAAAAGAAGUAGGUAGCUUAACCUUCGGGAGGGCGCUUACCACUUUGUGAUUCAUGACUGGGGUGAAGUCGUAACAAGGUAACCGUAGGGGAACCUGCGGUUGGAUCACCUCCUUACCUGAAAGAA